rnacentral:rRNA from 1 species
GCCUACAUGAAGCUGGAAUCGCUAGUAAUCGCGGAUCAGCAUGCCGCGGUGAAUACGUUCCCGGGCCUUGUACACACCGCCCGUCACACCACGAGAGUUUGUAACACCCGAAGUCGGUGAGGUAACCUUUUGGAGCCAGCCGCCUAAGGUGGGACAGAUGAUUGGGGUGAAGUCGUAACAAGGUAGCCGUAUCGGAAGGUGCGGCUGGAUCACCUCCUUUCUAAGGAA